GUGAGGAAUAUUGGUCAAUGGGCGGGAGCCUGAACCAGCCAAGUCGCGUGAAGGAAGAAGGAUCUAUGGUUCGUAAACUUCUUUUGCAGGGGAAUAAAGUGCAGGACGUGUCCUGUUUUGUAUGUACCCUGAGAAUAAGGAUCGGCUAACUCCGUGCCAGCAGCCGCGGUAAUACGGAGGAUCCGAGCGUUAUCCGGAUUUAUUGGGUUUAAAGGGUGCGUAGGUGGUUUGAUAAGUCAGCGGUGAAAGUUUGCAGCUUAACUGUAAAAAUGCCGUUGAAACUGGCGGACUUGAGUGUAAAUGAGGUAGGCGGAAUGCGUGGUGUAGCGGUGAAAUGCAUAGAUAUCACGCAGAACUCCGAUUGCGAAGGCAGCUUACUAAGCUACAACUGACACUGAAGCACGAAAGCGUGGGGAUCAAACAGGAUUAGAAACCCGUGUAGUCC
rnacentral:rRNA from 1 species